AACGAACGCUGGCGGCGUGGAUUAGGCAUGCAAGUCGAACGUGAAAGGGGCUUCGGCCCUGAGUAAAGUGGCAAACGGGUGAGUAACGCGUGGAGAACCUGCCCGGAAGUGGGGGAUAACACUCCUAACGGGGUGCUAAUACCGCAUGUGUCCGCGCGAGCGCAUGCUCGUGCGGGUAAAGGUGGCCUCUACUUGUAAGCUAUCGCUUCCGGAUGGCUCUGCGUCCCAUAGCUAGUUGGCGAGGUAACGGCUCACCAAGGCGACGAUGGGUAGCUGGUCUGAGAGGAUGGUCAGCCACACUGGGACUGAGAUACGGCCCAGACUCC
rnacentral:rRNA from 1 species